GCCAGUGCGGCACACUGGUUUGAGCAUUGGACUAGAACUCUGGAGACCAGGGUUCAAUUCCCAGUCUGGCC